GACAAAGGCUCGCCAUUCUUUCGAGACUGUCUAAUCUUGAGGAUAUCGAUGGGCGUCACCUGAAAUGUGUGCUGCCUGCAUCAAGGAUCUUCCGCGCUCAUUUCCUCAAAGUAUCGUGAGCCUCGCUUGGUUGAAAAACACUUCGGGGGCAUCGGAGCUGUCUUGCAAACAGCUGUUUCGCACUGGACGACCGCAGGUGUCGUGAGCAGGCAUCAGCAUGGCAGACUUCGAAAUCCAGCCGGCAAGCGAAGUUCGGACCUUCAUAGAUCAUGGACCCAACUUCCUCAAACAACUGGCCCAAGACAGCGUCAGAGUCGAGCCCGCUUCGACGGGAUCAGGAUGGGUGUACACGGACGCGAACUUCAUAAUGGUUGCUAUGUGCGCUUGUGUUCUGGCAUUUAUGAUGGUCAUCACCGUGUUCAUUUACCACCGUGAGAAGAUUCGUCGUAUCGUCACCGGAGAGAACCGCAGAGUCGGCAGUGUAUACUAUGUGCGUCCUGGAAUCAGUGCCUUCCAACCGACAGAAAUUUAAAAUGUGUUAGUCUGAGGAUCGUCUUCCCGGAUCGCUUCAUGACGAGGCGACUCCAACAGGAAUCCCUGAUGAGUCUGUGAACAUUGUAAAACUUGAAGUCCGUGUACUCGCGAAUCCUCUCGAGACUAUUCUGAAUUCACCACGGAGAAUCAUUUUUCAUCUCAACCGUUAUCCCGGAGCGGGAAGGUCACAGAGUCCAUCGAGAAGAUGCUGCCUUUGGACGGCGUCAUCGAUAUAUAUUCUCGCGAUAGUUCUCAUUCAAGUUUCCACAUUUUGGUUGUUUCGUCCAAUAUACGAACGAGAGGAGUGGCUGGAAAUUCCGAAUCGCGACGCGACUUUUGAACGAGCAUUCGUUUGCAUAAUGUGUAUCAUGGACACCGAAAACAGUUGGACAUGCUCUCCAUACACUUGAACGGGACGUACAUGUGGAGAAUAUGUCAGAGGAAGAGGGACUACUACUUAAAGGCAGCCGAAGCACGGCGUCGCGGAUCGAUACGAAGCAUUCCAAUAUAAGGUUAUCUGCUGACAUGGAGUACCUAUUAAACUAUUGAGUUCCGGGACGUGAAUCCGUCGUGAGUCCGCUCAUCUUGUGACGACUUUUGGAUAAAUAAAUGGAUGGAUGGACAUCGAGGAAGGAAGAAACU